UGGUCUCUUUGAUGCAGAAACAGUAGAUCGAUAUAUUUGAUUUCUUUGAUUAUAUAUGCUGAAAAUAUAGGAGGUUCUUUUGCAUGCAAGAUCUUCAAAAAUAUGUCAGACGCUAUUUUGCAUUGCCUUCCUGGUCAAAGUGCUUUGCCAUGAUGGAGAACUCUAUUGGACCCUAGCUGUUAAUUUUAAACAUGUAGUACAGCCUUGUAGAGCUGCAAACAGCAAAAAAGAAAUGACAAUUACCCAAGAUCAGAUCAAAAGUGCCUGUGAUGAAAUAAUAUGCUCCUCUUAAAACUCGUGACUUGCAAGUUGCACCAUAUUAAAAAUUUCUACUGCCUUUCUAUGGAUCUUCUUGAAGAAGCCCUUGUUAGUAGUCAUUUUAGAAUACAAAAAUAUAUACAGCAUGGCUAGAAAAAAAACGCAUGUAACCUUUUUCCCUUUCCUGCUAUUAUGGAAAUAUACUUUCAACCAGAAAUCUCCAUAGAUUUGUUGCAUUAGCUACUAAGGUAAUUCAAACCCUAGUUUCAGCAUGUUAACAAACUAAAGAAAAUUAACGUUACAUAUAUAAGCCCUCUUGAAAAGUGAAAACUGGAAGAACGAACAUCACUAACAAUGGUUGUCUUUCAAGACUCAAAGUAGCAGAAAUUUUGAUGUUGAUGAUAUCAAAAGCCUCUGAAAUCUACAGGUACCAUACAUAUAGAGAAAUUAUGAUGCCAGUACUAUUUUGUCAUUGUAAUACGUCUGAGAUAAAUUUAUCCCAAUCCAAAUAGCCAUUGUACCAUUUCUCAGGAAAAUUAAAUUGAUAAGCUAAAAUUAAAAAAAAGUCCACUAAACUAUUAGCAUGGGCCUUAUACUGGAUCAAGUAGACAUGAGAAAUUUUAACUCGAACUUGCACUGAGCGGCAAGUGCAUACUGCUACCCAACACCUACAGAGUGUGCAUCUCCAGUUUUGGUAUUGGGAUUAUUAGAUCAUGCUUCCAGUACAAAGAACUGCCAUAUUCCAACCCGUUUAAUGUCAAACAAUUUAUUUCUGAACGAGAAAAUAAAGCCCCUAGAGAGAAAGAGUAGUUACUAUAAUUUGAUUUUCAUCACUGAUUUUGAACCUACCAGAUUUUCAUCACUGGUUUGAACCUAUCAGAUUUGGACCUUCAAUCAUUUGAUUUCCAUCUCUAGCAUGUGCACAGUUCUACUUAUAUAUUAUGAUAUUACUAUUUAAUAACAAAGCCUGCAGGCAGAUUUGGACUUUUCAUCUCUAGCAUGAUUUGUCAUAUUUAUGUUUUCUUUAAUAUGAUUCUAUCAAUACUUAAAAUGGUCUAGCUACCUUCAAACAUUCAGCUUAAGGUGAUCGAGGCUCACAAAUAGUUUUGCUCUGCCACUGCUUAGAUUAUUGUUCAGAGUCUUCAUUACUUACUAAUAUUCUGAAUGGUAUGUUUAUGCUGCAAGUUGUUUGCAAAUACUCAAAUAGGGAGUUAUAUGCACACAGACUUGGGUGUAGAGAAUCCUUGCUGCUAUAUUCAGGUAUGGAAAGACAUGAAGCCAAACAGCAAAUCAAAAAAGGGUGUAGCAAAUCCUUGCUGCUAUAUUUAGGUAUGGAGAGACAUGAACAAAACAGCAAAUCAAAAAAGGUAAAUGCUCCCCCACAUGAUUUUAUGUUGACAGAGAUAACAGUGUCCUGUGAUGAAUUAAAAAAAAAGGAGAUGUUCACAUUUCCAAUCAGAAGUAACACGACUCGUGCUCAUCAAGAGUGGAGAUAUGGCAAGACAAUGUGGUAUGUAUUUCUCUGCCUAACUAUAUCUAGUGCCAUGUCAUGUCCAUGUGAGGAACUAAAAUAAGUACCAAGAGUGUAGGCUCAGGUGAGAUAAGUAAAUAUGUGCUCAGAUGCUAGAGGACUCACAUUUCUGUCAGCUAGGAUGGCGAAUAAGAACUCGCAUCCGAGUCACUUUUCGCGAUCGUCAUCCAACCAUGGUUAUACGUGUGCAUGUCUUCAACAAAUCUGAAAUUAACAUGCCUGAGAAAUGAGAGGAACACAUGUAUCAGGAAAACUAACAAGUGGAAGCUUUGAUGCAGUUAUCAUAAAAGAAGAAGUUGCAAGGGGGGAUUCCAGGCGAAGCGAGGGUAGACCCUUGGUGCCAUUAUCCUCUUCGAGCAGGUGCGUCCGAGGCUAAGUUGUACUGGCAUGGUAGUCCGUAGGUUGAAGAUUGUUCUGGUAGUUCCGAGGCUUUUAUGAUUGCAUCAUGGGCACAAUUCACGUCCUCAUUUAAUCUGGGUUGCGUUAUUCCAUUUAUGUGGAGAUUACAUACCUUUGCAGCGUGAUUACAUACCUUUGCUGAUACCUGCCUGAUUUAUGUAGAGAUCUAAAGCUUGAUUCCUGGAGAGUGAUUUCUGGCGCGGGAUUUACAUACAUUUGCAGCGUGAUUACAUACCUUUGCUGAUACCUGCCUGAUUUAUGUAGAGAUCUAAAGCUUGAUUCCUGGAGAGUGAUUUCUGGCGCGGGAUUU